rnacentral:misc_RNA from 1 species
AACUUUUGGCAAUAGAUCUCUUGGCUCUCGCAUCGAUGAAGAACGCAGCGAAAUGCGAUACGUAAUGUGAAUUGCAGAAUUCAGUGAAUCAUCGAAUCUUUGAACGCACCUUGCGCCCCUUGGAAUUCCGAGGGGCACACCCGUUUGAGUGUCGUGAACAUCCUUCAACCUUUCUUGGUUUCUUAACCGGGGAAGGCUUGGACUUUGGGGGUCUUUCAUUGCUGGCCUCUUUGAAGCCAGCUCCUCCUAAAUGGAUUAGUGUGGUCUGCUUUGCCGAUCCUUGACGUGAUAAGAUGUUUCUACGUCUUGGGUUUCGCACUGUCGCUUUAGACCCCGCUUCUAACCGUCUUGCAUUCAAGACAGAGUUUUAAACCUUGACCUCAAAUCGGGUGAGACUACCCGCUGAACUUAAGCAUAUCAAUAAGCGGAGGCU